rnacentral:precursor_RNA from 1 species
UCGAGUUCAUGAGAUCUUCAGUUCUUAUGUUGUUUUAAGCUUUUGAGCUCUAUUUCCAAACUUCAAAUCAUUGUCAUCAAGAAUAUGGAAGAAUAUCCAGCAAGUUUUCCAUGUGUUAUUAGUUCUUGCGUUUAUAAAGACAAAGUUGGCUACUUCCUUAUAAUGCAAGUUCCAAAGGAGAAGUCUACAAGGGAAAAAGUGAAGCUGCCAGCAUGAUCUAUCUUCCGUUAGUAAGAUGCGGAUGCUAUAUUGCUAACCCUAGCUAGGUCAUGCUGCGACAGCCUCACUCCUUCCUACUUGGGGCCCAAUAUUUUCCAAUAAAACUCUUCAAAGAUCUCAACCCUAUGCUCCAAAGCCAGAAAAAGAGAAGACAAGCGUAAGGGUAACUCUAACGCGAAACCGUAUGGAAGUAUAUUCCUUUUUCUUUGUCUUUUUGUUUUGGCAAGGUUCAAUCAUGCGUUUCUAACUUUAUCUUUAAGUUUUUAGCAUAGCCAGCUGACAGCCAUGUGUUUGGCUAGAAGCUUUGUGUUCAGUUCCUCUAUUUGUAUUGGAUAUAUUUGCAUUACCAUUUGGGAAUGUCAUUAUACUCAUGUUCUAAGUUUCUAUGCUUCAAGCCAAAUGAAGUAACUCUUUCGUCCCAGUUGAGGCGG